GAUUAAAUGGCUGAAGUUUAGGCAAUAAAUUGUAAAUUUAUUUAUGGGAUAUAUCUCUUUAAUCA
rnacentral:tRNA from 2 species